rnacentral:rRNA from 1 species
GAUGAACGCUGGCGGCGUGCUUAACACAUGCAAGUCGAACGGGAAAUAUUUCAUUGAGACUUCGGUGGAUUUGAUCUAUUUCUAGUGGCGGACGGGUGAGUAACGCGUGGGUAACCUGCCUUAUACAGGGGGAUAACAGUCAGAAAUGGCUGCUAAUACCGCAUAAGCGCACAGAGCUGCAUGGCUCAGUGUGAAAAACUCCGGUGGUAUAAGAUGGACCCGCGUUGGAUUAGCUGGUUGGUGGGGUAACGGCCCACCAAGGCGACGAUCCAUAGCCGGCCUGAGAGGGUGAACGGCCACAUUGGGACUGAGACACGGCCCAGACUCCUACGGGAGGCAGCAGUGGGGAAUAUUGCACAAUGGGGGAAACCCUGAUGCAGCGACGCCGCGUGAAGGAAGAAGUAUCUCGGUAUGUAAACUUCUAUCAGCAGGGAAGAUAGUGACGGUACCUGACUAAGAAGCCCCGGCUAACUACGUGCCAGCAGCCGCGGUAAUACGUAGGGGGCAAGCGUUAUCCGGAUUUACUGGGUGUAAAGGGAGCGUAGACGGUGUGGCAAGUCUGAUGUGAAAGGCAUGGGCUCAACCUGUGGACUGCAUUGGAAACUGUCAUACUUGAGUGCCGGAGGGGUAAGCGGAAUUCCUAGUGUAGCGGUGAAAUGCGUAGAUAUUAGGAGGAACACCAUUU